rnacentral:tRNA from 1 species
GCCCGGAUGGUGGAAUGGCAGACACAAGGGACUUAAAAUCCCUCGGUUUAUCCGUGCGGGUUCGAGUCCCGCUCCGGGCACCA